GGCGGCAUGGCCAAGUGGUAAGGCAAGGGAUUGCAAAUCCUUCACCCCCGGUUCAAUCCGUGCCGCCU
rnacentral:tRNA from 1 species